CCUCGCUUAGAUAUGAGUCUCCUUGCCAUGUCACUUCCUGCCUGGAUCAUCACUUCUCUACUACAUUUCCCAGAAUCCUCUUUGACUCCUAGUCCUUGCUUGCCAUUGGCCAAACAGUAUUUUAUUCAACAGUCAAUAAGAUAAACAUACAAAGAAGUGCAUUCCCCAUCAAGAGCCCUGCUUAGGAAUGUGAUCAUGUGAGGGUAAUUCUAAGUACUUAUGAGAAAAUUCCAAGGAAACGGGACAAGAGUUUUAAGACCUCAGUUUUUUCAAAACACAGAACUGUGAGCCAGGCAUGGUGCAAGCCUUUAAUCCCAGCACUUGGGAAGCAGAGAGCAGUGACAAGUGGUAUCUGAAGUGGUAUCUGAAGAGGAAUCUGGUCAAAUACUUGAUAACAGCGUGGGGACCCUCACAGAAGCAUGGUCUUGACCCCUUUGCUCAUCACUCCUCCAUCUCUACAACUGGAUUCAAGGAGUUCAGCUCAGUGCUUAGCUGUGAAUCUCUGCUUCUGCUUCCAUCAGCUACUGGAUGAAGGCUCUAUGAUGACAUUUAAGGUUGUUUUGCCGUUUUACAUGUUAUUCCAAGCAAAGGGACUAAACAACCCUCAUUCAAACCAUUCUGACUGACUUUAAAUGCCUCAGCUGAAUUCAGCAGCUCCAGUCAUCACCUGCUCUGAGCAAGAAAGUCCUCAGCCCUUUCACACUCUAUCCAGCUACCUGUGUCAAGACACAUCCAGCCUGCCUUGUCCACCAGUCCACCUCAGGAGUAUCAACACCUGCACCAAUGCAUAAAAUGCAUGGAAUGCCAGCUUCUCUCAGAGCACCGGACAGGAGAGUGAUACAGCUGCACAAAAACUUGCCCAGGGCAAUAGACACUGUACAACACUGUUAUCAAUGAGCUCCCUUUCAAGACACCUGUCACCAAAUCUUUGUCCACGGUCAACCACACCUUUAACUCCAGCUCCUCCCAGUACUGCCUUUCCAUCUCCAAUACAGACUCCAGAGACAGUGAGGAGAACUAUGUCCCUAUGCAGAACCCAAUGACUUCAUCCCCUGUAUCCAGUGGCACUAACAGCCCAGCUCCAAAGAAGAGUACUGGAAAUGUGAAUUACAUAGCCCUGGACUUUCAGCCGGUCUCCUAGAGCCUUCAUCGCAAGCCAUCCACAUUAUCUGUUGCAUCGGGUGAGAAAGGAGAAUAUGUCCAAGUGGAUAAAGAAAAGACCCAGGACCUACAAAAGACCAUACAGGAAUAGACAAAGGAUGUGGCAGUCCUCAAGACCCUCCAAAGAUGCCAAGCUAUGAGCCCUCAUCCAGUGGCUGAUGGAAGCAGAGGCAGACAUCCACAGAUAUACACUGAACUGAACUCUGGAACUUAGUUGCAGAGAGGGAGGAAUGAAGAUCGAAGGGGUCGGUACCAGGGUGGUGAAACCCACACAAACAGCUGGCCUGAACAAGGGGGAGCACAUUGACCCCAGAUACUGUCUGGGAGGCCAAUACAGGACUGAUCCAGAUCCUUGGACAUGGUUGUCAAUGAGUAGGCCUCUGCACUCCAGGGGGCCCCUGAUAGUGGAUUAUUAUUUUUCCCUGGUGUAAAGAGGGAUGCACUCUUGCUCUGGACACAUGGGGAAGGGUCUAGGCCCAGCCCAGGAUGAUGUGGUGGACUUUGUGGAGCCCCCGUUGAGGGUCCUACCCUGCCUGGGGAGUGGAGGGUGGAUGUGGUGGGGGAG
ensembl:lncRNA